UAGUCCCUUUUGGUUUUUCAAGAAAUAGAAUAGUGUAUAAUUGUUGUAUUUCAAUCACACUAUGUUCGCCAUAUCCAUUGCCGACGACGCGUUUCUCUCAAUCCUGAGCUCAUCAUUUCGAUUGAGACACGACAUAGUAUGGGUUGGAACAUUAUUUAUAUACGCCAUUUGUUACAACAAGAUGUUUUACAGGGAGGAUUCUAAUAUCAAUAUUUGCUGUUUAAGAAAACAACUGAUUAUAAAAGAUACAGACCUGAUGGACUUCUUGCCACCCUUGAUGAUCAGCCACUCCAAAGAUGGCAUGAUCGUGUAACAAACAUUCUGUUAGUUUUGGAUCACGGCCGUAGGAGACACUGUAGUACAGUGCUGUUAAACCUCUGUUAUCUUUAUAGUUUGGUGAUGCUCCCAAAUCAAGCAGACUCUACAAUUAAGGAGUAUUAUAUUAAUCCAGCUUCAACAACUCAAGCUCCAUCUUAAUUUUAUAAUUUAAAUUUUUGAAUUAUAUCAGAUUUGGUGCAACUGACACAUUGCAUAUUAUUAACAGAAUUUCAUACAGAGUUACACAAGAGAUAUCUUCACACAACCAUCCCUCACUCAGAACAGAUAGACUAGGAAGAUGGCAACUGCAACUAGUCAACAGUAGACACCACCAACACUUGGACUACUCUUGUCUGAUCGAAUGGUAGGACCAUCACUGUUAUAGCACAUUCACAGUCCCAGAGUAUGUAACUAAUAUUUGAUGACAGGAUUAAGAUCAUGGUAGACUUCCAUGGUAGACUUCAAUUCCACUUA